rnacentral:rRNA from 1 species
GAUAAACGCUAGCGGUGUGCAUUAUGCAUGCAAGUCGAACGGUCUAUCGAAAGAUUGACAGUGGCAAACGGCUGAGUAACACGUAAGUAACCUGUCCCGAAGUGGGGAAUAAUUCGCCGAAAGGUGGACUAAUACCGCAUGUGGUAGUGGGGGUAGGUUCCCAUUACUAAAGCUUUAGGGCGCUUAGGGAGGGACUUGCGACCUAUCAGGUAGUUGGUGGGUAACGGCUCACCAAGCCAACGACGGGUAGCUGGUCUGAGAGGAUGUCCAGCCAGACGGGGACUGAGACACGGCCCAGACUCCUACGGGAGGCAG